UCCCUGGUGGUCCAGUGGUUAGGACUUGGUCCUCUUACUGCCAGGGACCCAGGUUCAGUCCCUGGUCAGGGAU